CACGUAGUUAGCCGGAGCCUCCUCCUUAGGUACUGUCCUUUUUCUUCCCUAACGACAAUAGUUUACAAUCCGAAGACCUUCUUCCUAUACGCGGCGUCACUGCGUCAGAGUUUCCUCCAUUGCGCAAUAUUCCCGACUGCUGCCUCCCGUAGGAGUCUGGGCCGUAUCUCAGUCCCAAUGUGGCCGUUCAACCUCUCAGUCCGGCUACUGAUCGUUGACUUGGUAGGCCGUUACCCCACCAACUAUCUAAUCAGACGCGAGCCCAUCUAUUAGCGGAUUACUCCUUUCCCACUUCCAUCAUGUGAUGAUUAUGGCAUAUGCGGUAUUAGCAAUGAUUUCUCACUGUUAUUCCCCUCUAAUAGGCAGGUUGCUCACGCGUUACUCACCAGUCCGCCACUAAGCCAUUGUUAUAAAAUUCAAUCAGAUAAAUCUUCAAUUCAUUUUAUAACGACUUCCGUUCGACUUGCAUGUCUUAUGUGCGCCGCAGUCGUUUAU
rnacentral:rRNA from 1 species